AAAGGAAUAGACGGGGACCCGCACAAGCAGCGGAGCGUGUGGUUUAAUUCGUUGCUACACGAAGAACCUUACCUGGGUUUGACAUAUAGGUGGUAGAGAACUGAAAAGGGAUCGACCCUUCGGGGAGCCUAUACAGGUGUUGCAUGGCUGUCGUCAGCUCGUGUCGUGAGAUGUUCGGUUAAGUCCGCUAACGAGCGCAACCCUCGCUGUAUGUUAUAUGUAUCAUACGGGACUGCCGGUAAAAAGCCGGAGGAAGGUGAGGAUGAUGUCAAGUCAGCAUGACCUUUAUAUCCAGGGCUACACACACGCUACAAUGGUCUGUACAACAGGUUGCCAAGCCGCGAGGCGGAGCCAAUCCUCAAAAGCAGGCCUCAGUUCAGAUUGCAGUCUGCAACUCGACUGCAUGAAGCCGGAGUUGCUAGUAACCGCAGGUCAGCAAUACUGCGGUGAAUACGUUCCCGGGUCUUGUACACACCGCCCGU
rnacentral:rRNA from 1 species